AUUGAACGCUGGCGGCAGGCCUCACACAUGCAAGUCGAACGCGUGGCGGACGUGUGAGUAAUGUCUGGGAAACUGCCUGAUGGAUGGGGAUAACUCCUGUCAACGGUCGCUAAUCCCGCCUACCAUCCGAUGUGCCCAGAUUGGAUUAGCUGGUGGGUGGGGUAAAGGGUCACCAAGGCGCCGAUCCCUCGCUGGUCUGAGAGGAUGACAAGCCACACGUGAAAUGAGACACGGUCCAGACUCCUACGGUAGGCAGCAGUGGGGAAUAGUGCACAAUGGGCGCAAGCCUGAUGAAGCCAUGGCGCGUGUAUGAAGAAGGCCUUCGGGUUGUAAAGUACUUUCAGCGGGGAGGCGUUACCCGCAGAAGAAGCACCGGCUAACUCCGUGCCAGCAGCCGCGGUAAUAC
rnacentral:rRNA from 1 species